rnacentral:misc_RNA from 1 species
AUCGUCGUAUCGUAUCGUGUCGAUGUGUUCGGGUUGAAAAUACGACCUAAAGCUAACGUCAUUCGUUUCGUUUCGUAAAAUAUGGUGCCGAAACUACCCGGGAUCGGUUGGAAUCGCUCGUGAAAUGGCCGAUCUUGAGAAACUGAAGCGGCGCAAGAUAAGCGCUCAAGGGUGGCUCACUCGAACAGUUGUGAAACUCGAGCAAAGCCUGUCUUUGAAGGAGGUUAAAGUGAUUGACCUCGAAAGUUUGCUCUGUGACUUUGAUAAGCGGCUGAGUGAUUUUGAUGUUGCUGAGGAGCUACUCGAGCAAGAGCUUCCAGAAGAUGGCAUCAUGGAAGCCAUCGAAGCCGCUGGUGAGAUCAGAGACCGUGCUGUGGAUGUGCGAAACAAAGCCCAGCAAACUCUUGGUGUUCUUAAGGUGAAGGAUGGGGCUGAUGACUCGGCUUCUUGUGCCAGUGCGUCUCAGCUUGGAUCAGCUGAUCCUUCCGUCAAGCUCCCAAAGCUUCAGUUGCCCAAGUUUUCUGGCAACGUGCUUGAGUGGCCUCAGUUUUGGGAUGCUUUUUCUGUGACUGUGGAUGCCAGUGACUUACCCGAGGUGACCAAGCUGACAUAUCUCAGAUCCUUGCUGACUGGAGAAGCAGCAAAGAGUGUCGAGGGUCUUGCGUUGUCAAAAGUGAACUACAAGACAACCUGUGAGAUUCUCAAGGACAGGUUUGGCAGAAAGGAGCAGAUUAUAUACAACCAUAUUCAGGCACUCCUGCAGUCGAGUUGUGAUAAGAAGUCUGAAGGCCUUAAGUCUUUCCAGGAUGAACUCUUAGUUCAUGUCAGGAGUCUGGAGAACUUGGACAUUACUGGUGAGAGGUAUGGCGUCGUGCUGACACCUAUCAUUGUGUCACGCCUGCCUGAAGUGAUUCGGAUGGAAUGGGCCAGGAAGAGUGCUGGUAAGGAAGCUGACUUGGAGUUUCUGUUAGAGUUCUUGAAGGAGGAGAUUCAGUGCCGUGAACGCUCACAGACAUUCAAGUGUGGUGCAAUGGCCAGUGAUUCUGGAAGAGAGACGGAGAAGAAGAGAGAUCAUCAAGCAGGCCGAUUUGCUGGUCAGAGACAGAGAGUGGCUGCAGCGUCAGUGCUUCACACUGCUGCUGCCAGGUCUAACUGUGGGAUUUGCCAUGACUCCCACCCGCCGGCCAAGUGUCCGGAAUUGCUGAAGCUGGCUGUAAGGGACAGGCCAGGGAAGAUAAGAGACUCAGGUUUGUGUUUUCGAUGCCUCAAGGAGGGCCACAGAGGUAACUCGUGCGGUGCGAGGUGUGAUAACUGUCGAGCACGAGCUGCUCAAACACUGCGGUGUUGACACCCUCCUGACGACCCUGAGGAAUGAGUACUGGAUCGUUGGAGGGAGGAGAGCGGCCAAAAGGGUGAAGCGGGCCUGCACAGCGUGUCAGAGGCAAGAUGCUGCUGCCCUCAACGCGCCAGUGGCGCCUCUACCGGCUCAGCGGGCUAGUAAGGCUCCGCCUUUCUCAGUGACGGGCGUUGAUUUUUGUGGCCCGCUCUUCUGCUUGCCCAAGCAGAAGGUGUAUGUCUGUCUAUUCACAUGCGCUGUAACCAGAGCUAUUCACCUUGAGUUGACGGAUUCCAUGUCCCAGUCAGAUUUUUUGCUGGCGUUCAGAAGGUUCUGUGCCAGACGUGGUACCCCUACGAUGAUGUAUUCGGACAACGCCAAGACGUUUAGAGCCGCGGCUACCAGCCUGUUAGCUGAGCUGGGUCCGGCGGGCCCUGAGUGGAAGUUUAUUGCCCCCCGCGCGGCAUGGUGGGGCGGUCACUGGGAGCGGUUAGUUCGUACUGUUAAGAGCUCCCUGAGAAAGACUCUCGGCAGGAGCGUCCUCUCCAAGGUGGAGCUGGAAACGCUGCUUUUGGAGGUGGAGGCCUGUGUAAAUUCUCGUCCACUAACCUUUGUCAGUGAUGAUGUGGACGGAGCUCGGCCUCUAACCCCGAGUCACUUUCUGUCCGGCAGAGUAGCCGGUGUUCGUGCGUUUGUGGUUGAUGAUUCGGACCAGGUUUCAGCGUCGUCCCUGACGGAGAGGGACGUUGAGCACCAGAACAUGUUGGCGAAGUUCUGGAGAGUGUGGCAGACUGACUACCUCCGCAGCCUGCCGCAUUCGGUUAGGAAGUUUAAGUCUCGUGGGAAGCUCCAGAUAGGUUCCGUUGUUCUCAUUCGGGAGGACAAUGUCCCGAGGCUGCACUGGUUGAUGGGAGUAGUAGAACACCUUCAUCCGGGCAGUGAUGGUGUCGUGAGAGCCGCCGACGUCAGGACGGCUCAGGGCGUUCGUACGCGGCCAGUACAGCGUCUGCAUGACUUGGAAGUCUUGGAUUAGGAGUAGCUCAAGUUCCGAUGUACCGUGCCUUUGAUGAAGCGUUGCGCGCAUUGUCAUCGUUGCGAGUGUUAUUUUAUCGUGUAUAUCGUCGUGUGUUAGUAUUAAGUGAAGUGUCGUAUCUCGUUUGCUGUUAGACCGUUAAUGUAUGUUACCGUUCUAACAGGCGGGGAGUGUUACCGAACGUGAAACCGCCGCCGAUUUGGCGGUCGUGGGCGGCUGUUGUGUCCCCCUGGCGGCGCGCCUGGAAAGCUGUAGUUGGAUCGCGAGAGUCGGUCGGUGGCGCCGAGUGGUCGGCCAUGGCCAUUGUCGUUGAUAAGCGUGUGGGAUAUGCCACGUGUCGCUCUCGUAUCGCAAUCGUCGUAUCGUAUCGUGUCGAUGUGUUCGGGUUGAAAAUACGACCUAAAGCUAACGUCA